GUUAGGGCGAAGCUACCAUGAAGCUAAGAGCUAGCAGAACGAAGAAACUGACUAUGUUGGUCAUCUAGGCAUAUGACUUCAACACUCAUAAAAAAGUGCUCACAUGUACUCCAUCCGUCCCAUAAUAUAAGAGAUUUUGGUGGGAUGUGACACAUUUUAGUACUACGAAUCUGGACAGAGAGCUUGUUCAGAUUCUUAAUACUAGGAUAUGUCCACAAAAAUCCCUUAUAUUAUAGGACAGAGUGAGUAAUUAUGUAAAUUAUUAUCCUUUCCCCUCCCACCCGAAACCCUCACUGCCUCUUCCCCUUGCCAUGCCACCUGAGCUACUGACAUCCCGUAGCUGCUAGGACAGCGGAGGCGAGGCUUGUGCAUCAGUACCAGGUGAAGGAGUGGUGCGGCGACGUAGGCAGGUGGCAACACUGGUUUCGGCUGGUGGGCGGCGCAUUGGUGGAGGCGCAAAGAAUGUGCUUUUAGGACAUGUAUAGCUCCAGCAUUUGCUUUCUGCAAUGAUUGGCACUUUUUCUUCAAUGGCUAUCUAUUAGUCUUCAUUUAUCAAUGUUUUCCAAGUUCUGCAACAAGGAAAAUAAAGAAUUUUAUGUUU
rnacentral:sRNA from 1 species